rnacentral:rRNA from 1 species
UACGUAGGGAGCAAGCGUUGUCCGGAUUUACUGGGUGUAAAGGGUGCGUAGGCGGAAUUGCAAGUCAGUCGUGAAAUCUGUGGGCUCAACUCACAAAUUGCGAUUGAAACUGUAGUUCUUGAGUGAAGUAGAGGCAGGCGGAAUUCCCGGUGUAGCGGUGAAAUGCGUAGAGAUCGGGAGGAACACCAGUGGCGAAGGCGGCCUGCUGGGCUUUAACUGACGCUGAGGCACGAAAGCAUGGGUAG